GGUGGCUCAGUGGUAGAGUCUUGCCUCAUAUGCAUGAAGCCCUGGGUUCAAUCCUCAGCACCA
rnacentral:tRNA from 1 species